GUGUGUGUGUUUGCUCACGCGCACUGGGGAUUCCCCCGCGUGACAAAAACAGCUUCGUCUUUCACAUGUCAGCUUAUCGCCUUUCAUUGCUCAUAUGCUCUCCGCCUGGAGCCCAUACUGUUACCGGAUAUCUAGACAACGGGCGGCCGUUUCGCCUUUUUUCGCUUGUUUCGAACCCUGUUCACGUUUGGAAUGAACGUACAACAGUUUGAAACUUUAAAAAAAACAAUAAUUGAUCAAAAGUGGAGGCCUGUUGCUGUAAGGCAAUGCAUUAUCGGUUAGGGGCAUGAAACGAAGCGGCUCGUUCCUCAGGUUUCACAAAGGUGCGGAGGUUUUCUUAGGUGUCAGUAGCCUCGGAGUCCGGUCACAUCACCGAGCGGCGACAACACCCGCUAGUAGCCUUUAAAUCCUCGAGGAAGGAGGAAGGAGGGAGGGGGAAACCCAGCGAGGCCACCACCAUCAUGGCGAGCGACGACUGUAGGAAAGAUGACUUGCUGGAGGAUAACCGCACAGAUUCGGGCAUUGACUCGUAUCGUUUAAUACUGAAGUCGGAGGAGCCCCGGGAGCCGAGCGCCGACUUCAGCGGGCCAAGGGACAAGAUUUCUACUGGGGAGGAGCGCCUGGACUCAGCCUAUGGCUCCUCGUCUAUCACGGUGGAGAGUUUGUCAGAGAUAGUUGGGGGCUGCACGCUUUCCAGCGCUCAAAAGGAGCAAGCACAGAGCUCUGAACUCUCUGAGCAGGAGAACUUGCUCACGACCAUAACUGAAGAUGGAGACACAAUCCUGCACUUAGCAAUCAUCCAUGAAGACGAAUUUAUCGCCCAACAGUUGAUACAGCUAUUCCCAAAAGAAGUCCUGGACAUCCAAAACAAUUUAUACCAGAGCCCUUUGCACUUGGCUACCUACCUGAACCUGACCGAUGUGGUGAAGGGCCUGAUGGAGAAAGGUUCCAGUCUGGGGCUGCAGGACCAGGAGGGGAACACUGCGCUCCAUGUGGCCUGCCAGCAUGGGCAGAUAGAGUGUGCCACUGAGAUGACCAGAGAGGUUUCCCCAAGCAAGCUGGCACCUGUCCUCGAGACCCAGAACUGGAGAGGUCUUGCCUGUCUUCACUUGGCUGCACUGAACAGGCAAUAUCAGAUUAUGAAGCUCCUGGUGAAAAAGAAAGCAGACCUAAAUAUACAGGAAGGAACCAGUGGGAAAACAGCUCUUCAUCUCGCCGUUGAGCUGCAUGAUGUCACAUCAGUAAAGCUGCUGCUCAGCAAGGGAGCCAAUGUGGAUGCUGCCAUGUUUAACGGCUGCACACCUCUGCAUCUUGCAGUUGGGAGACAGGACGCCGCCAUCGCCAACCUCCUCUGCCAGUCUGGCGCUGACACAAUGCUACGAAACAUGGAGGACGAAACGGCGCUGGAUCUGGCCGACGGCAAUGAUGAUAUUCUGGCUCUAUUUCCUUUUGAUGAUAUCCAGAUCUCCGGGAGGUCGGUGGUCAGUGUGAAGUUUUAAGCUGAAUCUUAACAGAUAACCUUGGAAUUGUCUGAAGCUUCACUGUGGCUGGAACCUUUUGAUUGGAAAAAAAAGUUUUCAGUAAAAUAGUUUCUCUAUUUGUAAUACAUUCUGAUUUGAUCUGUAUUUAACCAUUAUUUAGACAAAUAUGUGCACCAUAUCUUUCUUCCCUCUGACAAAAAGUGAUUUUGCUUAAUCAAACACUGAAAAAGAUCUGUUUGUGAGUCAUUGGUUAAAUUAUUCUGCUUCUUUUCACAUGCCUAUGGAGGGGUUGCAACAAAAGCCACCUCAAUGGAAUUUUUGGGGCCAUCCACCAUCUGCUCUACACUGGCAAAUCCAGGUUUGUCAAAAAGACUUGCAAACAGAGACCGAAGAAGCAAUAUGACUUGUAUAUUGCCAUUUUAGUAAAAGGAGAAGUUAGGUAAUUUAAUGAGCCCUUUUUAGCUCACCUGUAUAAAUCUGUAUUUUUUUUUUUGUUCUUUGCUUUUUAUUUUAACUCUGCAUAUACAGAAAAUCACUACUGUGUGUUGUUUACAGCAAAUGCAUCCUAUUAUAAAUGUAUACAGUAAAAAUAAUAAGUUCACUUCAUGACAAGGCUCUUUCAUGAAAACACCAAGUUCUGUUCUUUGUUUCCUGUCAGCUGCCUUUGUAACCUAUAUCUUUUGUUUUCCUGUAAGUGGCUUCUUCCUCAUGGCUCCUAUAAUACAAUGACUGUGGAGUGAUGGGAAAUUCCACUUGGCUCCAUCUCUUACAGUAUAAGCACAUACCAAAGCAAAAGCAGGUUUAAUAAGGUUUAGAAUAAGAUGGAAACUGUCAAGUAGGUAUAUUAGCCAGAAUAAUUAUCAACAGUAAAUACACUUAACUUAAUCUUUAGCCAAUCAUAUUUUCCUCUGAUUCUUGUGCACAAACAAGUUUAUUUUGAUGACGGCUUCUAAACAGCUAGGACAGAGAGUUAUGAAACUAUACAUACUUCCCUAUUGAGACUAUGGCCUGAAGCUAUCUGUGUUUUAUACAGUGUAUUGUAGGUCAUGCUGGUGUUGCCAUGGGCUUUGUUAAAAACAGAAAGGUGUUGUGAAAAAGUUAUAUAAGCUAGUUUCACUUAUUUGAGUAAAAGUAUAAAUACUACAAUGUAAAAUCCACUCUAUUGCAAGUACAAUUCCUGCAUCAGUUAAUGUUUGAAAAGUAAUAAUACUCAUUAUGCAGAAUGGCCACUUUUAUUCUGUUGAAUUCUUAUGUGUAUUAUGUCAUUCUUUUAUUAUUUCUCUUGCCUUAAUGUGUGCAUUUUAACAUUGCAGCUGCUUGAGGUGUAACUCAUUUUAACUACUUUGUGUACUGUUGGGAAGUGUCUGGUACAGCUUCAACUACUUUCAAGGUGCAUGGAGAAAACUUCUUGAAUGAAACGUGUUGGUCUCACAAUAAAGUUGCUCUUUAUUUGACAA